GUAUAUAAUUAUAUUAAUCUUUAAUACUAUUCGCUCUUUGCAUACAUUCUUCAUAUGAUGGCGGCGCUAGAUAAAGAUAAUAAUUUCUUAAAAUUAUUUUCCUUUGUACACACACAUAACACAUCAUAAACUGAUUAAGAUAAUAAUCUUCCAAAAUGAAAUCGUGCGAUAUUCGUUUAUACGGUACAAAAUACGAUCUGAUAUAUAUUUAUUUUUAAGAUUAAUUAUUAAUUUUAUAAAAUGAUUGUGUGUGUAAUGAAACUUUAUUUAUAAAAAAGUGGCAUCUACUCACGUAUGUCCCACUGGUUAGCCGAAGUGCUAGGUUGAUCUAGCAGAGACAAAACUUAUGGUUUGAGGUCGUGAAUAAGGCAUAUUUGGUGGAGCAUAGUCUGGAGACAUCGGCUUUGGCGGAGGAGGGUCAUCAUUGUAUUGCAUCAUAGGAGCUGUAGGCUGUAUGGUUUGUGUACGAGGUGGUACGUAAAAAUUCUCGAAAUUUAGAAACCGCGCUCGAAUCAGAAGUAGUACUUCAAUGUGCCGCUAGAUAUCGUCUCUAGUAUCAGUCCGCGUUUGUUUACAUUGUGCGUUUUUGUAAGGUUAUGUUUUACAAUGGCUGAAAUAACUGACUUGAAAGAACAGAGUUUGUUUCAAACUUGGCAAAACGGCUGCGGAAAUUCAUCAAAUAUUAAAACAAGCUUUUGGUGAGGAAGCUAUGGGUCAAACCCAAAUGUAUGAGUGGUUUAAGCAUUUCAAAAACGGCAUCCGUUGAAGAUGACGAACAUUCUGGGCACCCUUCAACUGGCAUCAACGAUGUAAAUGUUGCCAGAGCUCGCAAAAAAAUUCACGAAGUCCAUCGUCAAACACGAUUACUUCGAAUGAGAUGAAAGCCAUUAAUUUUUUAUGCACCCGAAAAGCCGUAUACCUCCAACACUCUGAUCUCGAAAUCACCACUGGCACAGAGAGGUGGAUUGUUAAAGGUCGAACAUCGAUCUGUCUUGCCGAAUCUUAUGUUUUCAUCCAUCCAGAUCGCCUGACCGUCUCUGAGAAUUAGAAACAAAAUGAUGGAUCGAAACGCUUACCCGCCACCGAUAGUUAUCAUUCUCGAAUCCGCGGCCAUAAAUAGUUCAGCCGAGUGAUGUACUCUGGAAUCGUUGUGCGAUGAAUCCAUGCCUAUCCAAGGAUACUUGGCUCGCUCAGGAUAUAAGCUGAACAGGAAUGUCUCGCCAGUACCAAAAUACGCUUGUCUGUGCCCUCUGUCAUCUUUCAAAUUACGCUCGCACCAUCUUGUCGAACAGUUUUUAUCAUCAGAAGGGUCGGCUCGUGUUGCUCAACUCGUACAUAGAACGUCGUUAACGAGCAUCCAUGUUCCUCGGUCGUAUAUAACAAAAUAGGCUGGUACAUCGUGAUUCUCAUCGGUAGCCACGACCAUAAGGUAAAUAACUGGCAAAUAAACAAAUUCACAUUAUUAAUCGGACAUAAAAAAUGAGACAAUUUUUAUAAUUGUGCAAACAUUAGUUUUCAACGGCUCACUAAUAAAAGAAUCAAACUAAACCACGGUAAAACAUGCGCUCGAUUGUGACAUUAAAUUAAAAUGAUUAUCAGCUGUAUUACCGAAAAAUACAGUAACCGACAUGUUAAUAAAAAUUGAGAUUUGUAUUUUCAACGAUGACAAAAGUCAUUGUUUGUUGAACAUAAUUUUAUCUAAGAUAUAAUGAGCGAAAAAUACAAAAACAUGAUAUGAUUGAAUUAAAGACCUUUUGGGCGAAAAUUUUUUUGUCAUAUUUUCUUGCUUUUCAGCAUUUUACCGCUUAUGCGUUUACUGUGUUUUUCCAUAACGAGAUGAUAACGAAGCAGAAAUAUAUCAAAAUUUAUUUGUUGGUAAUUAUCUAUCUUAUAGAUUGUAUAAUCAUGAAAGAUUUAAUUGUGUGAUGUAAAUUUACACGUGUAGUCGAAUUAAAAAAUAUAAUGGA